AGUAGGACUAGUACUGGAUUUAAUUCAUAGGCUUUAUGCUAUCCCAAUCAGUCAGAUGUCAUAUAGGCAGCAGGGCAACACAAUGAGGCAGCCAAUCAGGUUGGAUUGCAUAAUGACGUCACAAAGUCAAAGCAAGUGAACUCCUUGUCCCAUUUUCAUGGCUUACCACUACGGAAUAUGAUGAAAUUACAGUUUGAAUGGGAGAACACCAACCUCACCAGCAGCCACAGUAGAAGGGGAAACAUCAGCAACAGCAAGAACAUCAGCUACCAGAACGAAGGAGCAGAAGUUUCUAACAAUUACCAAUGUGCUCCCCACCUUUACCAAAACUUCAGGCUCAAUACUGCAGCCAAUUGGGAGGGUGCUUAAAACCACCUCCGACACAAAUGAAACAGCAGGCACUCCAAAGCAGAAUCAACCAGCCUCUUGUAAGGCAGAAGACUGACACACAGAUUCAAGGUAACUCUGGAUCAUGUGAGGAAGGGCCACACCUGCAGGGAGACAGGCAAAGACUCCAAUCAUGUGGCCUCUGAUGUUCAGAUAUGUCUGAAGCUACCUUCCACUUCAUAUCAAGCAAGCAGGAGCUACUCACCAACUGCUUCUUAGAACUACUAGAGGGAAUCGCUGGCUGCUCUUGACCAUCUGAAAAAGUUGUUCUUAAAAAGUUGUUCUUAAAGCAUGCCAUAGUACUGUAGUAAUUUUCCCCCCAGCUCUUCCUCUCACCCCCAACCCCAUAAAUGUUUCUCUGAAAAUAGUAUAAAGAUAGGCCCAGACCUACCCUUAGGCAAAGUGAAGAAGCUGCCUUAAGCAUCCACUCCGGGGUAUCAAAAAUGGGCUGCAAAUUCUUAAUUUGUUAUUAUUGUACUUGGACAGCCAAGGAUGGAGAAAGGUGUUUGAAUAAUUUUCUUCCUCAUGAGCCAAAAUAGGCUGACUUAGAGUCCUAUGGUAUUCACCUUGAUUUCUGUAGGUGUAUUUGCUGUUCUUAGGUCAUUCUUAUAUAGGGAAGAAAAGUAAUCUGGUCACUUCUGCUUGGUUCACUUCUUGGCUUUUUAAUGCAAACCUAGGACAUUAUAAAAGUUAAGAGGAACUUGUAAAAUGGUCUAUUGCAGGGCUGACAACUCACAUAUCUGGGUAACACCUACUCUUCUACACAGAGAGAAACCUUAAUAGUUGUCUUCCCUCUAACUGAACAUUGACAAAAAGAAGAAUGCCACAGAUUGCUGUUGCAGUGAAGACAAUGACAGAUGUUUAAAAUAAUAGAGACUUAAGAUUUAAUAGCUGGAGAGACAAAAUGGUUUCGUAUAGGCAAAAGUGUCAGACAAGGGUGUAUUUUAUCCCCAUAUCUAUUCAAUCUGUAAGCACAACAUUUAGCGAGGCUAAAUUCAGACAAAGAAGUGAAAAUUUGUUGCAAGAAAUAUCAAUAAUUUAAGAUACGCAGAUGACAUCAUCUUACUGGCAGAAAGCAGCAAUGACUUGAACCAAAUUUUAGUGAAAGUGAAAGAAGAAAGUGUCGAAGUAAGACUAACUGAACAUUAAGAAGAUCAAAAUAGUUAUUUCUGAAGAACUACACAACUUAAUGUUAUCAAUGACAAAACUGGAAAAGCGACAUUAAGUACAAAAUACUGUAAUUAUCAAUAUAUAUCUGUAGUGGCCAUUGUUGUGUUGAAUAUAUCUGCUACUUCCUUGAUCUUCUUGUGCACAUUAAAUAAAUAAAAUAUCUUUUGUUGGUUUCCUGUUUCU
ensembl:lncRNA